ensembl:lncRNA
CUCUGGGCUGCAGCCACGCACUGCUGGCUCAUGUCGAACUUUUAGUCCACCAGAACCCUGCGAUCCCUCUCUGCAGGGCUGCUCUCUGUAGGUUCUUCCCCCAGUCUGUGCUCAUGUCCACCCUGUCCCAGGUGCAGCACCCUGCACUUGGACUUGUUGAACCUCAUUGGGUUCGUGUGGGCCCACUUCUCAAGCUCGUCCAGGUCCCUUUGGAUGCAUCCCUUCCUUCUGGUGGAUCAACUGCACCACUCAGCUUGGUGUCAUCUGCCAAUUUGCUGAGGGUGCACUCAAUCCCAUCAUCUAUAUCAUUGAUGAAGAUAUUGAAAAGCACUGGUCCCAGGACAGACCCCUGAGGGACACCACUUGUCACCGGCCUCCACCUGGACACGGAGCCAUUGACCACCACACUCUGGGUACAAACUUCAAGCCAAUUCCUUAUCCACCGAAUGGUCCACCCUUCAGAUCCAUCUCUCUCCAAUUUGGAGAUUAGGAUGUCAUGUGGGACUGUGGCAAAGGCCUUACAGAAAUCCAGGUAGAUGAUGUUUGCUGGUCUUCCCUCAUCAACCGAUGCAGUCACAGAAGGCCACCAGGUUGGUCAGGCACAAUUUGCCCUUGGUGAAGCCAUGCUGGCUGUCUCGGAUCACCUCUUUGUCUUGCAUGUGCCUUGACAUUGCUUCCAGGAGGAUCUGUUCCAUGAUCCUCCCAGGCACAGAGGUGAGGCUCACUGGUCUGUAGCUCCUGGGUCCUCCUUUCCAUCUCUUUUAAAGAUGGGAGUGAUGUUUCCCUUUUUCCAGUCACCAGGAACUUCACCUGACUGCCAGGACUUUUCAAAUAGGAUGGAGAGAGGCAUGGCAACUCCAUCAGCCACCUCCCUCAGGGCCCUGGGAUGCACGGCAUCGGGCCACACAGACUUGUACCUGCUCAGUUGCAUCAGGAGGUCCCGAACCUGCUCUUCACUUACAGUGGGAAGGACUUGGCUCCCCCAGCCCCUGCCCGGAGGUUCGGAGAGAUGUGGGAAGCAGGGGAGGAGGGAGGGGAGGCAGGGUACUGGCGGCAGGGAAGAAGCCUCAAAGCCUGAGAGGGGCUCUCACCGGUGCUGCGCUGCAAGGACAGGCAGGAAAGCAAGCACAGGUCAGUGCUCUGGGCGGUUCCCUCAGCAGCUUCUUUUCAGCUCUUCUGUGCUCCCUGUAAGUAUGGCUGUUGGUGGUAGGACUCCCUCGAAUCCCGGUUGUGCAGCACUGCUGGGUUUUUGGGGGGUUAAUGGAUUGUGGGAAGCCAAAGAUCCAUUGCAAUGUGGCUUUGUGUGCUGGCGUCAAGGCUUCUUAGUGCACAUAUGUGGCUGUUUCAGAUGUUUCACAACUGAAAGCUGCUGUACAAGAGCAGUGCAGCCUUCCAGGAUUCUGUCCUCAGGAAGAGUGCUGCUCUCCGGGGUGGGGUGCCCAUGCGGUGUGCCCAGGUGUGCAGCGCUCUGCACGCGCAGCCGAUGUGCUUCCUGCUGAGACCCGCGCCACUCGCAGCCCAGUCGGGGGAAAGGAAGGCUUCUUUUCCUGCAGGCAGCAUUAUUAAGUGUGCAGAGCUUCACCCAAGGGACAAGGGCCUGUGAUGCUCUGGCUCUGCAGAGGAGAGUGGAUGCGCGCCUGGCUGUCCUAGUUGCCUGUGGCAUUGG